AGUGAACGCUGGCGGUAGGCCUAACACAUGCAAGUCGAACGGCAGCACAGGAGAGCUUGCUCCCUGGGUGGCGAGUGGCGGAUGGGUGAGGAAUACAUCGGAAUCUACUCUGUCGUGGGGGAUAACGUAGGGAAACUUACGCUAAUACCGCAUACGACCUACGGGUGAAAGCAGGGGACCUUCGGGCCUUGCGCGAUUGAAUGAGCCGAUGUCGGAUUAGCUAGUUGGCGGGGUAAAGGCCCACCAAGGCGACGAUCCGUAGCUGGUCUGAGAGGAUGAUCAGCCACACUGGAACUGAGACACGGUCCAGACUCCUACGGGAGGCAGCAGUGGGGAAUAUUGGACAAUGGGCGCAAGCCUGAUCCAGCCAUACCGCGUGGGUGAAGAAGGCCUUCGGGUUGUAAAGCCCUUUUGUUGGGAAAGAAAUCCAGCUGGCUAAUACCCGGUUGGGAUGACGGUUCCCAAAGAAUAAGCACCGGCUAACUUCGUGCCAGCCGCCGCCGUAA
rnacentral:rRNA from 1 species